rnacentral:rRNA from 1 species
GACGAACGCUGGCGGCGUGGAUUAGGCAUGCAAGUCGAACGGUAGGAUACCUUCGGGUAUCUGAGAGUGGCGAACGGGUGAGUAACACGUAGGUGAUCUACCCUCAAGAUUGGGACGAACCCAGGGAAACUUGGGCUAAUACCGGAUGAAAGCAGCAGUGAUGUUGUUUGAAAGGUGGCGUAAGCUGCCGUUUGGGGAUGAGCCUGCGCUCUAUUAGUUAGUUGGCGGGGUAAAGGCCCACCAAGGCGAUGAUAGAUAGGCGGCCUUAACGGGUGGUCGCCCACACUGGGAUUGAGAUACGGCCCAGACUCCUACGGGAGGCAGCAGUCGAGAAUAGUCUACAAUGGCCGAAAAGGCUGAUAGUGCGACGCCGCGUGAAGGUUACGGUCCUAAUGGAUUUUAAACUUCUUUUGUAUGGAAGCAAUAAGGUGCACGUGUGCAUCGAUGAGAGUACCAUACGAAUAAGCAAUCGGCUAACUCCGUGCCAGCAGCCGCGGUAAU